rnacentral:rRNA from 1 species
GAUAAACGCUAGCGGCAGGCCUAACACAUGCAAGUCGAGGGAGAAGCCCUUUCGGGGGCAGAAACCGGCGCACGGGUGCGUAACGCGUAUGCAACCUACCUUUCACAGGGGGAUAGCCCGAAGAAAUUUGGAUUAAUACCCCAUAAUAUUAUUGGAUGGCAUCAUUUGAUAAUUAAAACUGCGGUGGUGAAAGAUGGGCAUGCGUCCUAUUAGCUAGUUGGAGUGGUAACGGCACCCCAAGGCUACGAUAGGUAGGGGUCCUGAGAGGGAGAUCCCCCACACUGGUACUGAGACAGGGACCAGACUCCUACGGGAGGCAGCAGUGAGGAAUAUUGGUCAAUGGUCGGAAGACUGAACCAGCCAUGCCGCGUGCAGGAAGAAUGCCUUAUGGGUUGUAAACUGCUUUUAUAUGGGAAGAAUAAGGCGUACGUGUACGUUGAUGACGGUACCAUAUGAAUAAGCAUCGGCUAACUCCGUG